UUCAAACAGGCUUCAUUGCAAGUUGUCACACGUGGUUGGUCCAACCAAAAGUAUUCAGACAACAUAUGAUACAGUUUCAUAAGGUAGCAAGUACACUGCUGCCCAAUGUCUUCUACUUUUGAUUAUACUUCUUCCGCCACUGGACAUACUAACAUGUUAAAAUAAGCGGGAUAUUUGAGCUUUCAGAGCCCUGCCCACAUGUUAGCUCUACUGUUGCUCAUUACAAGCUAACCCGCAAACCACCAAUUUUUGAAGGACUUAAUCGUCCGUCUCCUCACUAUUUGGAUUUGCCGUUGGCCUGAAAUUGUCACCAACAACGGAAGUUUUUUUUGUCUCUGCUUCUCUGUAAGUCGUCCCCGAGGAGAACACGGCUUCACUUCAACAAGCGAUGGCAAGCUUGGCGUAGGAGCACAUGUGCAAGUUCUCCACCAAAGCAGAACAAGAGCCACUGUCACCAGCUGCAGUCCAAGAAGGUGGAGUUGCAGUCUGCCCAGGGGAGGAGAGACCUGCCUGAGUGAGAGACUAGCUGGUCAGCAACAACUGAACUUCCUAAUUGAAACACUUACAUAUAGCACCUCAUGAAUAGAUAAACAGCAGCGCUGAACAGAAGACAGCAUUGUGGGCAAAGAGUCGUGGCUAGCAGACAAAAAUCUUAUAGGAAGUGUUGAGAUGGCUGAAAGAUAUGAAUCACAACUUCCAGCCAGGACUUUAAGAAUUAAAUGAGAGUGGAAAAAGGAUGUAGAGAUAUGUGAGUUGGGCCUUUAGCCUUGAGUUGUAGUGACAGGCUUUAUUAUAACUAAUGGGGAUACUUGCGAUUCAGAUGGUGGAUUGCUAUUCUACCCAAAAAGAUUUUCAUAUGAUCUUUUGGCCAGAUCGCCUACUGCUAGUUCCAGCUGUUAUUGGCCAUCAAAGCUGAACAUUUGAUGAAGUGCUUAAAAAUACUUGUAAAGUUAUGGAUACAUCCUGAGAAGUUUCUGCUCAUACAUGACUUAAAUGCACACAGUGAGCCGCAGGUUCGUAACCUGUGCAGUGCAGUGUCGUAUCAGAGUGUGCAGUUUCAGCAUUUUUAGCCUUUCAAAAAUGUGUUUCUUGAUGUCAGUUAAAAAUCUGAUAUGUAAUCUUGCCGAAACCAAUUAGGCUACAGUAAAUCUGCAUCAAGAAUUCCCACAUCAAAAUGGAAGCACUCCUCUGAGACACACGCCAGGACUGCAGAGUUAAUUAAUCCCUGCAAUCAGAGGUCUGAUGAAAUAAGAGCUGAAUGUUGCCCCUCCCAAGACAACUGUUAACAAAGCUGUUCUGCUCUUAUUACUUCUGCAAACUGCUUAUCAGACAGCUCUGAAUCUAAAGCCCAACACGCCAUUUUCAAUCAAGUGUUGCUCCUAGGAAUUGAACUGAAAGUAUGAUUGUGACCCAAAGUAUUCACUUUAGGACCAUUGAACUGUAGCCGCGUGGGAAGUGCAUUGAUCAAUGAAGAACAUACAGUGCCUACAGUUAAGUGGCAUUGGAAAGAUCUGAUAUUGCAAGGACAUGUAGCCCAACUGGAAGUUGUGUGUUGUUUAAAAGCAAGAUAUAUCUGAAAAUGUUCCAUUUAACCAUUAUUUCAUUGUUACAGUGAUGUUCACAGAUGUUGGCAGCUUUUGAAAACAAAGUCUGUGAAAAAUAACACCCUUCCUCAAACAAUUUAAUGUUAUAAUCCAUGAUUAAUGUAGUAUUAUAGAUAGAAAUGUGCUUUUACACAUCUGGAAUGAGCUGAAUAACUUGUAACAUUUCAGGAAAGAAAAAUCUGAACCAACUGCAGAGAUGUUCCAAAAUAUAUCCUGUGUGUUUGAAAGUCA